rnacentral:lncRNA from 1 species
CACUUUUCAAUAAUUUAUUUUUAAAAGUUAUUUUAUUCCUAAACAGUAGAGUUCACAUCUUUUUCUGCUAAGUUCUUCCACAAGCUGGCAAAGGAUCCAAGAUGUAGCCUGGCAUUUAUCUUUGUUCUCUUUGCCACUCUCAUGGAAAUAUGGUGAAUGCAGUCCGUUCUUAACGGUCGUAUUUAGCCUCGGUUCUGUGAAUUCGAUUUUCUUUUCCUUUUUAAAGGCGAUAGAGUGGGAUCCAAUAGACGUUGGAGCUGACUCUGAGCUUUUUUGACUUGUACGUGUCACAUCUGAAGGCAAGUUCCCUCGUGCUGGAUGAAAGCUAAAAGGCUGGGUGCCCGGUUUACCAUCAGCUCAGGGCAGAAUAAUGAUGCGAGGCCUGACAUUUAAUACACCAGUGAUCCCAGAUAUUGCUGCUGAAAGCUUUCUCCACAAAGCAGGAACCAGAAGAACCUUACGGCAGUGUCUGACUUUAAUUCACAAGUGAGGGAGCCGUGAGGUUUCAUCUUCUCAGAAAGAACUUUUCACGGAGCAUGGUGGUGCACGCCUGUAAUCCCAGCUACCCAGGAGUCUGAGGCAGGAGGAUUGCGUGAGUCCAGGGGUUCAAGGACAGCCUGGGCAACAUAGUGAGACCCCUGUCUCAAAAGUAAAUAAGUAAAA